rnacentral:rRNA from 1 species
AGACUGGGAUAACUUCGGGAAACCGGAGCUAAUACCGGAUAACAUAUUGAACCGCAUGGUUCAAUAGUGAAAGGCGGCUUUGCUGUCACUUAUAGAUGGAUCCGCGCCGUAUUAGCUAGUUGGUAAGGUAACGGCUUACCAAGGCAACGAUACGUAGCCGACCUGAGAGGGUGAUCGGCCACACUGGAACUGAGACACGCCCAAACUCCUACGGGAGGCAGCAGUAGGGAAUCUUCCGCAUGGGGCGAAAGCCUGACGGACCACCGCCCCGUGAGUGAUGAAGGUCUUCGGAUCGUAAAACUCUGUUAUCAGGGAAAAACAAAUGUGUAAGUAACUGUGCACAUCUUGACGGUCCCUGAUCAAAAAGCCACGGCUAACUACUUGCCACCAGCCGCGGUAAUACGUAGGUGGCAAGCGUUAUCCGGAAUUAUUGGGCGUAAAGCGCGCGUAGGCGGUUUUUUAAGUCUGAUGUGAAAGCCCACGGCUCACCCGUGGAGG